rnacentral:lncRNA from 10 species
GAACAGGUGUCAACUAUUAUUAUCUUGGUUUUGAAAUUGGCAAAAUAGCAACUCUGAGAACUUACAUGACUUGAUCAAAGUCAUCAAAUGAUCUGAAGUUGCAGCUGUUAUAGACCUCUUAGUUUUUUCAUUAAUUUAAUGAGGGGACCAGUUAAGUAGGGGACAGCAGAAAGAAAGGGGUAUUUUUAAAAUGACUACUCACCAGAAUCCUGGUUUAUACAAUAUUACUUAAUCUUAAUGAUCCUUCAGAUAAGAAAAUUAGUUUUUUAGAAGUAGCCCAUGUUAUCUAAGUUCUUGCAGCAGAUAAAGAGAAAGAAUCCAUAUUUGAAUCAAAUGAUCCCUAUAACUCUUCCCAUUUCCUUUGGACGGUUAAUAUUCACUACUAUAGCAGUUUGUCUUUAUCUGCCAAGGGAACUAAAUAGAAACAGCAACUAUGUUUCAGCUAUCUGGGCUUAAGAAUGUAAGAGAAGUAGGAGGCAAUGGAAUCCAUCAAUAUCAAAAUCAAUUUAUUUAUAAUCCCUAUGUCUAGAAUGGUAGCUUGCUUUAAUUGUCCUAAAUAUUUUUCUGUGUCCUUUCAACUAUUAUAUAGCACAGCUUGCAUCUUAAGGUUGACAGAGGAUCUUCUCUCCCCAUUCCAGUUUUACAGAUGAAUAAUCUAUUGAAAUGCUUCUCUGAGGGCCACAAGCAUAGACAGAAAUCUCACUAUCAAGAUUCUUUUUGCUCUUGGUAAAGGAGACUCCAAAGAAAAAAAAAGAGAGAGAGAGAAGAAAGAGAA